rnacentral:SRP_RNA from 1 species
CCCGGGCGCAGUGGCACGUGCCUGUAGUCCCAGCUACUUGGGAGGCUGAGGUGAGAGGAUUCCUUGAGCCCAGGAGUUCUGGGCUGUAGUGCGCUAUGCCGAUAGGGUGUCUGCACUAAAUUCAGCAUCAAUAUAGUGACCUCCCGGGAGCGGGGGACCACCAGGUUGCCUAAGGAGGGGUGAACCAGCCCAGGUCAGAAACAGAGCAGGUCAAAACUUCCAUGCUGAUCAGUAGUGGGAUCGCGCCUGUGAAUAGCCACUGCACUCCAGCCUGGGCAACAUAGCAAGACCCCGUCUCU